rnacentral:rRNA from 19 species
GUUUCCGUAGGUGAACCUGCGGAGGGAUCAUUA